GCGCCCGUAGCUCAGUUGGAUAGAGUAUCGGCCUCCGAAGCCAAGGGUCAGAGGUUCGAAUCCUCUCGGGCGCGCCA
rnacentral:tRNA from 1 species